UGGUCCCUGUGGGUUACUGGUUGUGCCCCGUGGCAACUUUGCACAUGAAUUUGUUUACUUCUUGCUAAGAGAUGUACAAAUAUUUGAAGACAUCAACCAUGGCUCCCUUGACUCUUCUCUUGAACACAGGAAGCUCUCCAGUUGGGCCCUUGGGUGAUGUGAUGCCCAGUACUCUUCUUGAUCUGCUCCUCUCUGGAUGUUUACUGAAUGAUGUCCCUAUUAGACUCCAGUGCCCCAGAUAACACCUCCACAGAUAUGGAGCAAAGCCAGAGAAGCAGACGUCAGAGGAGUUUGGUGUUGCCCUCUAUGCAUUUCCUACAGUGAUGAUUAUGGUGCUUGUCAACGAUCUCAUAUAGUAAACCUCUACUCAGCGGGUCAAAGAGAAUCGACAAGCUAAAGGCUCAAACAGCUGUCUGUCACUAAAGUAUUUCAUUGAAGCAUAUCUGGAAGUGAAUGACAGGAAGAUGAAGAAUUCCAGAGUAUUCCUGCUUGUUGAGCGAUAUCCACAGCAGAACUGUGAUCGUC